rnacentral:rRNA from 1 species
GGCGCACGGGUGAGUAACACGUAGGUAAUCUACCUUUGGAUUGGGAAUAACACCGAGGAAUCGGUGCUAAUACCGAAUAAUGCAGCGGCACCUAAUGGUGACAGUUGUUAAAGCGGGGGAUCGCAAGACCUCGCGUCUAAAGAGGAGCCUGCGGCGGAUUAGCUAGUUGGUAAGGUAGCGGCUUACCAAGGCGAUGAUCCGUAGCCGGCCUGAGAGGGCGGUCGGCCACACUGACACUGACAUACGGGUCAGACUCCUACGGGAGGCAGCAGUCGGGAAUUUUGGGCAAUGGGCGAAAGCCUGACCCAGCAACGCCGCGUGAAGGAUGAAAUCCCUCGGGAUGUAAACUUCGCAAGAACGGGAAGAAUAAGUCGGUGCUAACACCAUCGGCGAUGACGGUACUGUUUGUAAGCUCCGGCUAACUCCGUGCCAGCCGNCGCGG